rnacentral:rRNA from 1 species
UACCUGCAGCCCAAGUGGUGGUCGAUUUUAUUGAGUCUAAAACGUUCGUAGCCGGUCUGAUAAAUCCUUGGGUAAAUCGGAGAGCUUAACUUUCCGAAUUCCGAGGAGACUGUCAGACUUGGGACCGGGAGAGGCUAGAGGUACUUCUGGGGUAGGGGUAAAAUCCUGUAAUCCUAGAAGGACCACCGGUGGCGAAGGCGUCUAGCUAGAACGGAUCCGACGGUGAGGGACGAAGCCCUGGGUCGCAAACGGGAUUAGAUACCCCGGUAGUCCAGGGUGUAAACGCUGCAGACUUGGUGUUGGAGACCCUUCGAGGGUAUUCAGUGCCGGAGAGAAGUUGUUAAGUCUGCUACUUGGGGAGUACGUCCGCAAGGAUGAAACUUAAAGGAAUUGGCGGGGGAGCACCGCAACGGGAGGAGCGUGCGGUUUAAUUGGAUUCAACACCGGAAAACUCACCAGGGGAGACUGUUACAUGAAACCCAGACUAAUGAUCUUGGUCGAUUUUCAGAGAGGUGGUGCAUGGCCGUCGUCAGUUCGUACCGUAAGGCGUUCUCUUAAGUGAGAUAACGAACGAGACCCUCACUAAUAAUUGCUACUUCAUUCUCCGGAAUGGAGGCACAUUAUUGGGACCGCUGGCGCUAAGUCAGAGGAAGGAGAGGUCAACGGUAGGUCAGUAUGCCCCGAAUCUCCUGGGCUACACGCGCGCUACAAAGGGCGGGACAAUGGGUUCCGACGCCGAAAGGCGAAGGUAAUCUCGAAACCCGUCCGUAGUUCGGAUUGAGGGUUGUAACUCACCCUCAUGAAGCUGGAUUCCGUAGUAAUCGCGAAUCAACAACUCGCGGUGAAUAUGCCCCUGCUCCU